AUUGAACGCUGGCGGCAGGCCUAACACAUGCAAGUCGAGCGGAUGAUGGGAGCUUGCUCCUGGAUUCAGCGGCGGACGGGUGUGUAAUGCCUAGGAAUCUGCCUGGUAGUGGGGGAUAACGUCCGGAAACGGGCGCUAAUACCGCAUACGUCCUGAGGGAGAAAGUGGGGGAUCUUCGGACCUCACGCUAUCAGAUGAGCCUAGGUCGGAUUAGCUAGUUGGUGGGGUAAAGGCCUACCAAGGCGACGAUCCGUAACUGGUCCGAAAGGAUGAUCAGUCACACUGGAACUGAGACACGGUCCAGACACCUGCAGUGGGAAACAGUGGGGAAUAUUGGGCGAUGGGCGAAAGCCUGAUCCAGCCAUGCCGCGUGUGUGAAGAAGGUCUUCGGAUUGUAAAGCGCUUUAAGUUGGGAGGAAGGGCAGUAAGUUAAUACCUUGCUAUUUUGACGUUACCAACAGAAUAAGCACCGGCUAACUUCGUG
rnacentral:rRNA from 1 species